rnacentral:rRNA from 1 species
UACGGGGGGGGCGAGCGUUGUUCGGAAUUACUGGGCGUAAAGGGCGUGUAGGCGGCUAUGCAAGUCAGGCGUGGAAUCCCACGGCUCAACUGUGGAAUUGCGUUUGAAACUGCAUAACUUGAGUACAGGAGAGGAGAGCGGAAUUUCCAGUGUAGCGGUGAAAUGCUCAAAUAUUGGAAGGAACACCGGUGGCGAAGGCGGCUCUCUGGCCUGAUACUGACGCUGAGGCGCGAAAGCUAGGGGAGCGAACAGGAUUAGAUACCCGCGUA